GGGGUUGGGCUUCUGUCGGUGUUGGACAGCGCGAUGCCAAACGUGCCAGCCACUCUUGCUGUCGUCCGCCUCCCUCUUCCACGAUAGGUUCGCCCGCACCGAGCCUAGACGCAGAUAGCUCUCGACCGUCCGCUACAGCGCUGUCGAAGAGACGGUAAUGGAGGAGGCCUCGCCCGAGACGGUGGAGGAGCCACUGCUGGUGAGCGCAAUCAGAGGGAAAAAGGUUGAGAGGGCACCAAUCUGGCUCAUGAGGCAAGCCGAGAGUGCCUCAAGAUUCUGAAGGUUUCUGUCAACCUGACAUGCACCACGGAAUGGAGGUUCGCCUUGGUUUGUCCAAGGGACCUAUCUGCCCUAGCUUCAGUUGAGGCAGUGAAUGUAGUUCUGCGGUUCUGACGCACGUUGAUGCACCUUAGUACAGUACACUCGGGUCAAUAAAAGACCACAUUAGGAUGGUGAAACGGUGAAAACUGAUGGCUUGCAUAUGUUCAGAGUGUUAUGUUGUAAUGAACGCAUACUGCGAAGCA